AUGUUGCAAGCGGUAGGCAAGGUCAUGUCAGAGAAGCUAGUUCAUCCUGACGCCAUAUGCUUAACCCUAGGAAAAAUCUGGUGUCCGAUCAAAGGCAUCGACUGCAAGGAGAUUGGGGUGAAUCAGUUUCUGUUUACGUUCCACCAAGAGUUUGGGAAGAGGAAGGCGAUCGAGGGCGGGCCGUGGAUGUUUUAUAAAGACCUAAUCAUGGUGGAGGAGUAUGUUCUGAAGAAGAGGCCCGAGGACUAUGAGUUUAACAAUAUUCCGAUUUGGGUUAGAGUGUAUAACCUGCCUCUGGGUAUGAUGAAUGUGGUCUCUGCGGAGGACAUUGGCAACAUUAUUGGCGAGUUUGUUGAGGCAGAUAUAGGGAUCGAUGGGAGUGCCAUAGGGAGAUUCUUGCGUGUUAAAAUUCGCAUGAGGAUUGAUAAACCACUCAUGCGUGGCUUCACGUUGGAGGAUGAGGAGAAACAGGGAAGAAACAAAAGGAGAAGGGGGCUACUAUAG
rnacentral:rRNA from 1 species